UUGGUACUCCGUCCAACAAAAGAUGUCUCAAAUUUGUAAAAAUUUGAAUGUAUCUAGACAUGACUUAGUGUAUAGAUGCAUUUAAAUUUAAUCAAGGUUGAGACAUCCUUUGUUGGACGGAGGAAGUAGCUU
rfam:Brachypodium distachyon strain Bd21 chromosome 3, whole genome shotgun sequence.